CCUACGGGUGGCAGCAGUGGGGAAUAUUGGGCAAUGGGCGCAAGCCUGACCCAGCAACGCCGCGUGAAGGAAGAAGGCCUUCGGGUUGUAAACUUCUUUUCUCAGGGACGAAGCAAGUGAUGGUACCUGAGGAAUAAGCCACGGCUAACUACGUGCCAGCAGCCGCGGUAAUACGUAGGCGGCAAGCGUUAUCCGGAUUUACUGGGUGUAAGGGUCGUGUAGGCGGGACAGCAAGUCAGAUGUGAAAAGCAUGGGCUCAACCUGUGGACUGCAUUUGAAACUGUAUUUCUGGAGUGCUGGAGAGGCAGGCGGAAUUCCUAGUGUAGCGGUGAAAUGCGUAGAUAUUAGGAGGAACACCAGUGGCGAAGGCGGUCUGCUGGACAGCAACUGACGCUGAGGCGCGAAAGCGUGGGGAGCAAACAGGAUUAGAUACCCCAGUAGUC
rnacentral:rRNA from 1 species